UACAGAGGUCCCAAGCGUUGUUCGGAUUCACUGGGCGUAAAGGGUGCGUAGGUGGUCGGGUAAGUCUGACGUGAAAUCUCCGAGCCUAACUCGGAAACUGCGUCGGAUACUAUUCGGCUGGAGGGUUGGAGGGGGGACUGGAAUGCUUGGUGUAGCAGUGAAAUGCGUAGACAUCAAGCGGAACACCAGUGGCGAAGGCGAGUCCCUGGACAACUCCUGACACUGAGGCACGAAAGCUAGGGGAGCAAACAGG
rnacentral:rRNA from 1 species